AACAAAAACUGCUCUUCGAAGUCACGAGAAGAACAAAAACCAGUGAAACAGUAUGCAGCUCGAAAACAUAAUGAACGACCCGACUUGAGUCAUUUUCAUUUUUAUGUGUAUCUCACUAUCAAAAUGAGUAAAGUGGCUGACACACCAGGUCUACCACAAAUCAACCGCACACUAAUUGUAAGUCCAGCGUUCCCAGCGACGUAUAUGGAAACGCAGCCAUGCACUAAAGUGCUCUAAUAUAAAAGGAUAAGAAAAACCGUAUACACUACUGUUUUCUUCGUAAAGCUGCAGGUAUUGGAAAAAAAAAACGAUAGGAGAAAUAAGAUUCUGAUAUCAGACCCUAUGAACCGUCUCCGGCCAAGCCAAUGAAUUUUUUUCUCCAUCUUUUUGAGAUUACUUCGCCUUGAAUGGUAGCUGCACUGCAGUACGAAAAGCGCAAGGAUUCUAACAAACGAAUCGAGACGAGCUCAAGGCAUUUACUUAUAUCUGCGUUUUUCGUAAGCGUCAUCGCAUCGCAUGUUUAACGAUCACACAACGCCGGCUGCUUAACCACGCGAAAUACAGCCGGGAAAAUUCAAACUG